CACGGACCAUAUAAAUAGCGUUGGUAAGUCCUGCAGAUCAAUCCGUUUGUUGUAGACGACUGGUAUACAAGUACAGACUUUAUUCGGAAUAUAAAAGAAGCCUGUGUUCGCGAUGGUUAAGCACCUCCAGUUUCGGUACGGACCGUACGUGAAGAGAUGAGACAAGACCCUGUACUCGGAAGAGCCGCUCGAACCACUCAUCCGUGCACUGACGGAAGAGGGUUUCCAGGUGACCACAAACCGAGUCGGCUUGAAGGACGCAUGCGACCUUUUUGCUGGCAGGGAGCGUCUCUGGUCCACCAGCUUCGCCCGCCUCAUGAAUGCGGCGGGCCAGAAGGCGGCGGUGCGCGAGGUGCUUGAUGCCUGCGCCAAGAAACUUCCGGGUAACAGGUCCAGCCUUACUGGGACCAAUGCGCCAGUCUCCAGAGCGCCAAGGAAAUGAUAAAAUGUCCCCGCUUUAAUGCUUAGCUUUGUAUUAACCACAAAACUUUUAUAAAUCUUGAAAAUUGAUAAACUUUUCUUAUGGGUUGCAUUUUAACGUAUCGUUUUGUAUUCCCAGCAAUAAUUUUCACAACGAUUAUGCAGUUGAACUCGAACGGAAACAAUCUAUAACAAUAACUUAUUGAUGAAGCUUGAAGCGUUGGGUCGGGGACGGAAGGAUAUCUCUUUUAUAGUUUAGAUGUAAAUGCACAGACUUAUGACGUGCCUGUCUAAAAUACAAAUGGACAGACACUGAUGCUCGCUGUGCACAAAAUGUAAAAUUACAAAUACUAUGUUGUUAUUAAAAUGGUACCAUUAUACCAAAU